rnacentral:rRNA from 1 species
AGUAAACGCUGGCGGCGUGCUUAACACAUGCAAGUCGAGCGAGAAAGCUUCUUCGGAAGUUAGUAAAGCGGCGAACGGGUGAGUAACGCGUGGGAAUCUGCCCUUUAGUGAAGAAUACCUUCGAGAAAUUGAAGUUAAUACUGCAUACGUCCCUACGGGGAGAAAGGUGGCCUCUUUGCUGCCGCUAAAGGAUGAGCCUACGUACUAUUAGCUAGUUGGUGGGGUAAUGGCCUACCAAGGCGAUGAUGGUUAGCCGGCCUGAGAGGGUGUACGGCCACACUGGAACUUAGAUACGGUCCAGACUCCUACGGGAGGCAGCAGUGGGGAAUCUUGCACAAUGGGCGCAAGCCUGAUGCAGCAACGCCGCGUGAGGGAUGACGGCCUUCGGGUUGUAAACCUCUUUUAGUAGGGAAGAAGCGAAAGUGACGGUACCUGCAGAAAAAGCACCGGCUAACUACGUGCCAGCAGCCGCCGCCGUAA